GACGAACGCUGGCGGCGUGCCUAAUACAUGCAAGUAGAACGCUGAAGGAGGAGCUUGCUUCUCUGGAUGAGUUGCGAACGGGUGAGUAACGCGUAGGUAACCUGCCUGGUAGCGGGGGAUAACUAUUGGAAACGAUAGCUAAUACCGCAUAAUAGCAGUUAUUGCAUGAUAACUGUUUGAAAGGUGCAAUUGCACCACUACCAGAUGGGCCUGCGUUGUAUUAGCUAGUUGGUGGGGUAACGGCUCACCAAGGCGACGAUACAUAGCCGACCUGAGAGGGUGAUCGGCCACACUGGGACUGAGACACGGCCCAGACUCCUACGGGAGGCAGCAGUAGGGAAUCUUCGGCAAUGGACGGAAGUCUGACCGAGCAACGCCGCGUGAGUGAAGAAGGUUUUCGGAUCGUAAAGCUCUGUUGUAAGAGAAGAACGAGUGUGAGAGUGGAAAGUUCACACUGUGACGGUAUCUUACCAGAAAGGGACGGCUAACUACGUG
rnacentral:rRNA from 1 species